GUAGAGAUGUGGAGGAACACCGAUGGCGAAGGCAGCCCCCUGGGAUGACACUGACGCUCAUGUACGAAAGCGUGGGUAGCAAACAGGAUUAGAUACCCUGGUAGUCCACGCCCUAAACGAUGUCAACUGGUUGUUGGGGGAGUGAAAUCCCUUAGUAACGAAGCUAACGCGUGAAGUUGACCGCCUGGGGAGUACGGUCGCAAGAUUAAAACUCAAAGGAAUUGACGGGGACCCGCACAAGCGGUGGAUGAUGUGGAUUAAUUCGAUGCAACGCGAAAAACCUUACCUACCCUUGACAUGUCCGGAAUCCUGCAGAGAUGCGGGAGUGCCCGAAAGGGAAUCGGAACACAGGUGCUGCAUGGCUGUCGUCAGCUCGUGUCGUGAGAUGUUGGGUUAAGUCCCGCAACGAGCGCAACCCUUAUCAUUAGUUGCUACGCAAGGGCACUCUAAUGAGACUGCCGGUGACAAACCGGAGGAAGGUGGGGAUGACGUCAAGUCCUCAUGGCCCUUAUGGGUAGGGCUUCACACGUCAUACAAUGGUCGGUACAGAGGGUUGCCAAGCCGCGAGGCGGAGCCAAUCCCAGAAAGCCGAUCGUAGUCCGGAUUGUUCUCUGCAACUCGAGAGCAUGAAGUCGGAAUCGCUAGUAAUCGCGGAUCAGCAUGUCGCGGUGAAUACGUUCCCGGGUCUUGUACACACCGCCCGNAAGGGCCAUGGGAGUGGAAUCUGGCAGAAGUAGGUAGCCUACCGCAAGG
rnacentral:rRNA from 1 species